rnacentral:rRNA from 1 species
GACGAACGCUGGCGGCGUGCCUAAUACAUGCAAGUAGAACGAGUUGCGAACGGGUGAGUAACGCGUGGUAACCUGCCUCAUAGCGGGGGAUAACUAUUGGAAACGAUAGCUAAUACCGCAUACUGUGAGAUGGACCUGCGUUGUAUUAGCUAGUGGGUGGGGUAACGGCUCACCUAGGCGACGAUCCCUAGCUGGUCUGAGAGGUGGACCGGCAAGACUGGAAUUGUGAAACGGUCCAAACUCUUCCGGAAGGAAGCAUAGGGGAAUAUUGGAAAAUGGGCGCAAGCCUGAUGCAGCCCUGCGGGGGGUAGGAAGAAGGCCUUCGGGUGGUAAAGUACUUUCAGCGAGGAGGCGUUACUCACAGAAGAAGCACCGGCUAACUCCGUGCCAGCCGCCGCGGUAAUUC